GUGGCUCUGCCACGAUUAUCUGUAUCUGGUGACUCUGUCACAUUAUCUGUUCUGGCAGCCAUGCUGCAAAUUCUGUGGUGUGUAGCGAUUGGGUGGGUCGAGUUGUCUCCCCACACGGUGUAAGGUUGGUACGGGGGUGUAUACGGUUGGAUAUGGUUGGGUUUCUGCAUAAACAUGUAAUAUCUGUUCUGUUCUGUUAUGGGCCUAUGGGCUUUAUUCUGAAUUCUGUUCUGGGCUAUGGCUAACUUAUUCUAUUUCUGUGGUUUAAGCUGAUAUAGGCUAUGGUUGGGUUAAUUUACACACUGAGUUUCCCCAAACUCACCCCUUUUAUUUUCAUCCACGCAGGUAAUCCCCAACCAUAGUGGGCUUGGAGCUGUGAGGGAAUUCGGAGUGGCCACCCGUUCUGAAAGUUUGAUUUUCUUUUGGUGAACUGGACAUCCUUUUAUUUACGUUUGAAGUUUUGGGUUUUUCAAUGUAAUAAGGCCGCUUAAUUAUUUUUGAUGGUUUUAAUAUGUAUUACUAAGAUAGGUAAUACUUAUUUUAACUGUUGAAAUUGGAUAGCUUUAGGGCGCGUUUUCAAAAACAACAGUUGAUUUCAAAAUAACACAACAACAAGCAAAGCUUCCACAAUGAAAGUAUUUUCCAAAAUUAAUCACUUUUCCUAAAAAUGACUUAAUCAAAUCGGUUUCCUAGAAAUAUCCAUGACGUUAAGG
rnacentral:lncRNA from 1 species